UACGUAGGGUGCGAGCGUUUAAUCGGAAUUACUGGGCGUAAAGCGUGCGCAGGCGGCGCGUUUAAGACAGGUGUGAAAGCCCCGAGCUUAACUUGGGAAUUGCGCUUGUGACUGGCGUGCUGGAGUGUGGCAGAGGGAGGUGGAAUUCCACGUGUAGCAGUGAAAUGCGUAGAGAUGUGGAGGAACACCGAUGGCGAAGGCAGCCUCCUGGGCAGCACUGACGCUCAUGCACGAAAGCGUGGGGAGCAAACAGG
rnacentral:rRNA from 1 species